CCUACGGGGGGCAGCAGUGAGGAAUAUUGGUCAAUGGCCGGAAGGCUGAACCAGCCAUGCCGCGUGAAGGUCAGUGCCCUAUGGGCGUUAAACUUCUUUUGUGCGGGAGCAAUAAUGGUCACGUGUGGCCAGACGAGAGUACCGUACGAAUAAGCAUCGGCUAACUCCGUGCCAGCAGCCGCGGUAAUACGGGGGAUGCAAGCGUUAUCCGGAUUUUGUGGGUUUAAAGGGUGCGUAGGCUGUGAGGUAAGUCAGCGGUGAAAUGCCCCCGCUCAACGGGGUGAAGUGCCAUUGAUACUGCCGUGCUGGAAUGCGGAUGCCGUGGGAGGAAUGUGUGGUGUAGCGGUGAAAUGCAUAGAUAUCACACAGAACACCGAUUGCGAAGGCAUUUCACGAAGCCGCGAUUGACGCUGAUGCACGAAAGCGUGGGUAUCAAACAGGAUUAGAUACCCCAGUAGUC
rnacentral:rRNA from 1 species